CUCUAGUAACUGUCCUCUCUCUAGUCUAAGUUAGGCGCUGCUCCUCUGAUGUAAUUCCACAGCACCCCUGUGGUCUUUACCAUGGAGUGCUGGCACUGUGUUGUCAUUCACAGUUUGACUUUUUGUCUUCCUCAGUAGACCACAGUCUCCUGAGGGCCACACAUUUGCUUUUUGCUUUGAUUUCUGCAGCCCCAUCAUGUAGCACAGUACCUGGCACAUAGUGGGUCCUUUAAUACAUUUGUAUUGAAAUGAAUGAAUGAUUGAAUGAACUCCAAAAAUGCCGGGCUUUUUGUUCUUUUUUGUUUUGGUGUUUUGCAGGGAUGGCCAGUCAGGAAAGAUAACCGUGGAUGACUAUGGAGCCAGAACAGGCAAAUCCCCAGGCAUGAUGCGGCAGCUUAACAUCAAUGGAGCUCUGUAUGUGGGUGGAAUGAAGGAAAUUGCUCUGCACACUAACAGGCAAUAUAUGAGAGGGCUUGUGGGCUGUAUCUCUCACUUCACCCUGUCCACCGAUUACCACAUUUCCCUCGUAGAAGAUGCCGUGGAUGGGAAAAACAUCAACACUUGUGGAGCCAAGUAACACCAGCUGGCCUUGCCCAAGGGACAGAGCCUUCUAUUCUGAGAAUCCCAGGGGCCCUCAGACCCUGCCUGAUGCUAUAUGCAGAGGCCCAGGGACCAGGUGUGUUUCUUCUCACCAAGGAGAAAGUACACACUGAUGAGAAACUAAGAACCAAAACAGGCAUCCCUGGGUGGCCUUUCCUGCUGACACUCCACGAGCUGACCCAGCAGAAUUCUCUGUGUAGGAAGCAUCGGACUUUGUCCAUUGAAUAUGUAGCGGCUGCCAGAGAUCACACAUCAAUGCAAAUUCCAGAGCCUGUCUGCUAUAGCUCAAUGACUGUGUUGUGAUUCAUAGUACAUUAAAAAGAGAGAGAGAGAGAAAGAAACCCGCAGGGCAGUAUUAAAAUACUCCUCUCCUUCCCUGACUCAUGGCACUCUUCCUGACAGCAGAAUGACUGUGCGACCUUGAACUUCACAUUUCCCACCUUGGCCCGUGGGUUGUUCGGAUUAACCCCUUCCACUCCUUACUGGCUGGUUCACUGUUCUGACUAGUCCAUGAAAAUAAAGAUGGAAGGAGAACAAA
rnacentral:sRNA from 1 species